AUGAACGCUGGCGGCGUGCCUAAUACAUGCAAGUCGAGCGAACAGACGAGGAGCUUGCUCCUCUGACGUUAGCGGCGGACGGGUGAGUAACACGUGGAUAACCUACCUAUAAGACUGGGAUAACUUCGGGAAACCGGAGCUAAUACCGGAUAAUAUAUUGAACCGCAUGGUUCAAUAGUGAAAGACGGUUUUGCUGUCACUUAUAGAUGGAUCCGCGCCGCAUUAGCUAGUUGGUAAGGUAACGGCUUACCAAGGCAACGAUGCGUAGCCGACCUGAGAGGGUGAUCGGCCACACUGGAACUGAGACACGGUCCAGACUCCUACGGGAGGCAGCAGUAGGGAAUCUUCCGCAAUGGGCGAAAGCCUGACGGAGCAACGCCGCGUGAGUGAUGAAGGUCUUCGAAUCGUAAAACUCUGUUAUUAGGGAAGAACAAAUGUGUAAGUAACUAUGCACGUCUUGACGGUACCUAAUCAGAAAGCCACGGCUAACUACGUG
rnacentral:rRNA from 1 species